UUUCGGGCCGAACUGGGUUCGGGCCCGAAAUGUAAAUUGGAUUGAUAAUUUGGCAUUUUAUUUGAUGAAUGAUAAUCUGAAAUUUAUUUGAAAUUAAUUGAGCAUGAAAUGACUUAUUUACCCUUGUGAGGGUGUAGGUGUGAAUAAUAAGCCAUGAGGGCAUUUUGGUCAUUUGACCCCUAUUUACUAUGUUUGAUUAAAAUUGAUUUUUGAUGAAAUGAAAAGCAAUUUUCUGGUUUUUGCUUUCCUCUUGGCCGACCCCCUCUCUCUCCCAAACCCUCUUAUUAUUUCAAAGUUGAAUUUGAAGAAAAGCUUGGUUCUUAGCUUGUUUUGGAGCUUUGAAGUUGUGAAUUCUUGAGCUUGGAGUUGAGGAUUACCGGCACCUGGUCAGGAGCACCCGGGGAUUUGGAAUCUCUACUAUUGCGGGACAACAGGAAAGGGUAAGGCAUUAGCUGAUCAGCCAUGAGUUUCAGGAGCAGGGCGAAGAAUGUACAUGUUCAUGCCACUUCAGACCAAGCGGGUUAUGGGUCUAACAGUGUUGACUUUUGUAUUCUGUUUUGCCGCUUAGGUCGGCUAGUAAGAAAGAACUUGUAAUAAGUUUGUAAAUAUUUUUGGGAUCCCAACUAUUUUGAAAAGUUUAAAUAUAUUACAAGUUUAUUUUCAGUCUGUUUAAUAUAAAAGUUUAAAUUUUGCGCUA